CGCGUAGGCGGCGUGUUAAGUCAGCUGUGAAAUCUCCGAGCUUAACUCGGAACGGUCAGCUGAUACUGAUGUGCUAGAGUGCAGAAGGGGCAAUCGGAAUUCUUGGUGUAGCGGUGAAAUGCGUAGAUAUCAAGAGGAACACCUGAGGUGAAGACGGGUUGCUGGGCUGACACUGACGCUGAGGCGCGAAAGCCAGGGGAGCAAACGGGAUUAGAUACCCCGGUAGUCCUGGCCCUAAACGAUGAAUACUUGGUGUCUGGAGUUAUUAUUGCUCCGGGUGCCGUCGCUAACGUUUUUAGUAUUCCGCCUGGGGAGUACGCACGCAAGUGUGAA
rnacentral:rRNA from 1 species